CACGAGUGCCUCAAGCGUUAUCCGGAAUCAUUGGGCGUAAAGGGUGUGUAGGUGGCUCUGUUAGUCUCACGUUAAAUUUUGCGGCUUAACCGUAAAACUGCGUGGGAAACGGCAGAGCUCGAGGGUGCAAGGGGUCUCUGGAACUCUAGGUGUAGCGGUGAAAUGCGUUGAUAUCUAGGGGAACACCAAAAGCGAAGGCAAGAGACUGGGGCAUUCCUGACACUGAGACAUGAAAGCGUGGGUAGCGAAUGGG
rnacentral:rRNA from 1 species